AUUGAACGCUGGCGGCAGGCCUAACACAUGCAAGUCGAACGGUAGCACAGAGAGCUUGCUCUUGGGUGACGAGUGGCGGACGGGUGAGUAAUGUCUGGGAAACUGCCCGAUGGAGGGGGAUAACUACCGGAAACGGUAGCUAAUACCGCAUAACGUCUUCGGACCAAAGUGGGGGACCUUCGGGCCUCACACCAUCGGAUGUGCCCAGAUGGGAUCAGCUAGUAGGUGGGGUAAAGGCUCACCUAGGCGACGAUCCCUAGCUGGUCUGAGAGGAUGACCAGCCACACUGGAACUGAGACACGGUCCAGACUCCUACGGGAGGCAGCAGUGGGGAAUAUUGCACAAUGGGCGCAAGCCUGAUGCAGCCAUGCCGCGUGUAUGAAGAAGGCCUUCGGGUUGUAAAGUACUUUCAGCGGGGAGGAAGGCGUUAAGGUUAAUAACCUUGGCGAUUGACGUUACCCGCAGAAGAAGCACCGGCUAACUCCGUGCCAGCCGCCGCCGUAA
rnacentral:rRNA from 1 species